rnacentral:rRNA from 1 species
CCCUUAGAUGUUCUGGGCUGCACGCGCGCUACACUGAUGCGCUCAACGAGUUUUAACCUUGCCUGGAAAGGUUGGGUAAUCUUUUUAAAACGCAUCGUGAUGGGGAUAGAUUAUUGCAAUUAUUAAUCUUCAACGAGGAAUUCCUAGUAAGCGCGAGUCAUCAGCUCGUGCUGAUUACGUCCCUGCCCUUUGUACACACCGCCCGUCGCUCCUACCGAUUGAGUGCUCAGGUGAAUAAUUCGGACUGCAGCAGUGUUUGGAUCCCGAACGCUGCAGCGGAAAGUUUAGUGAACCUUAUCACUUAGAGGAAGGAGAAGUCGUANCA